UAAUACGGAGGGUGCAAGCGUUAUCCGGAUUUAUUGGGUUUAAAGGGUCCGCAGGCGGAACUUUAAGUCAGUGGUGAAAGCCUACAGCUUAACUGUAGAACUGCCAUUGAAACUGAAGUUCUUGAGUGUGGUUGAAGUGGGCGGAAUAUGUCAUGUAGCGGUGAAGUGCAUAGAUAUGACAUGGAACACCUAUUGCGAAAGCAGCUCACUAAACCAUUACUGACGCUCAUGGACGAAAGUGUGGGUAGCGAACAGGAUUAGAUACCCUGGUAGUCCACACCGUAAACUAUGAUCACUAGAUGUUGGCGAUAUAAUGUCAGUGUCAAAGAGAAAUCGUUAAGUGAUCCACCUGGGAAGUACGUUCGCAAGAAUG
rnacentral:rRNA from 1 species